ensembl:lncRNA
AUCCGGGACGGAGCAGAUAAUCAAUAUGUUCAAAUGAUUUGAGAGCAAGUUUUCCCAAGGGGGAAGUGAGGAAAGCCUGAAAAUGACAGCCUGGGAAAGCUUCCUGGGGUCUUUGGUGGAGGGGAGGAUAUCGUUUAAAGGAACAGGCUUCCAAUUGUCAUUUUUAAAUUGGGCAAAAUGUCAACAUUACCCUUUUAUGCUCUUUCUACAAACUGGGAAAACUGAAGCUGUGAGGAUGCUCCCUGAUCACUGGUGUGAUGUGGGAUUUUCAGUGAUCGCCAAAGGGACAGGAAGGAAGCUCUGAAUUAUGAGAAAAACUUCAUAUGUUCAUCAUCUGCAGUCCUCAAUAUGAAACAGUGGACCAAGGAAGCUUCUGGAGAGCUUCGUGAAUUCCCCUGUCUCCAGGCCAUUAUUAGUUUUCCUGUUUCUGGGACGCUCAUGCUCUUGCCUGGAUUUUCAAUUGGCGCAGCCCCAGUAACCAACCAUAUGAACCGCCUGAUAGGUCAAUGAUACAGAGCUGUUCAAGAUCAUUUGUCCUGUAAGACCCCAACAUGAGACUGAAGCCCAAAGGUCUAAGAGCACUGUAGUGUGUACAAGCAUGUAUGUGUACAAGCAUCUAUGUACAUGGCCAUCCUGCAGCAUGUUUGAGGGGAAUGUUACAGCCAAAGUUACAUCUACAGCUGGAAGGAAGCUUCUGAUUUUGUUAUCUGGUAAUGAAUGAGCAUCUGCCACUAAGCCUGUGAAUGCCAUUCCAACAUGUUGAUCAACAUGUUGAUUUUUUUUAAAAAAAGAAAAAUAACUGGCUUAGAGGUUAAUAAUACUGUCUGUUCUUUCAGAGUACCUAAACUCAUGCUGUGGUACAUAUGCACUUACGUGUGUCUGUACACACACACACACACACACAGUAUAAAGAUUAAAAACUUAUCUUUUCUAGAGUUUGACAAAGGUAAAAUUGCAAAGUGUGAACCCUCUUAGGUUUUAUUUAUUUUUCACUUACUACAGUGCUUUGAGACUAACCUAUGUGGUUGUAGGCAUCAUUAAUUUACUUAAAAUGUUUAUGUAUUUAUUUGUUGUGUGCAUAGUGUGUGUGUGUGUGUGUGUGUGUGUGUGUGUGUGUGUGUGUGUGUGUGUGUGUGUGUGAUAUGUGUGAUGUAUGUGCACAUGUGUGUGAGGAUGCUCAUGUCCAUGUGCUCUCUUGAGGAGGCACUAGGUGUCCUGUAUCUUGAGGAGGCAUUGGUGUCCUGUAUCUUGAGGAGGCACUAGGUGUCCUGUAUUAUCAGGCACAGUCUGCCUUAUUCACUUGAGUGAGGGUUUCUCACUGAACCCGAGUCUUGUCAUUUUUUUUUUUUUUGCUAGCUCCUGGCAAGCUCCUGGGCUUCCCCUGUCUCUGAUCCCCAGUACUGAGGUUACAGGAGCAUUUGGACAUGCCUGGCUUUCUUAUGUGAUUGCUGAGGAUUCAAACUCAGGUCCUCAUGCUUGCACAGCAUGUGGUCUUACUCACUAAGUCAUUUCAUGAGCCCCCAGGUUACUUUUUAUUAAGUAAUGUUCUUU